UCCUCUACUCAGGGUUUCCUUGUUCCAAUUCUGUUCUCUUUGUUCAUCUCACUCAAACCCAACGACCUUCAAACCACCCAGAAACAUUCACCUCACUCGAUUCUACAAAUUACCCACUCACCUUCGUUCUUCUUCAAUCUCACUUCACCUAGAAACCCUCAACCUUCUUUAAACCUUCGUCACUCUCACUCCAUCCAGAACCCUUCUUCUUCGACCUUCUUCUCACCCAGAAACUCACUGAAACCCUAAACCCCGUAGAAUGUCAAUUGAUUGAACCCAGAUUCCCAUUGAAACCCUUAAAUAAAAAUCAAUUGAACCUUGAGAACUCGCUGAAACCCUAAAACCAUAUUUCCCAAUCGUUCAUCAUUGUCCAUCGUUUCAGAAGUCGUUUACCCAGAAACUCUUCAUCGUUCCGCCAUCGUUCAUCGCAGUUGAACCUCCAUCUUAUCAUGAGAGGAGUUGUUUCUAGAUGUGGUGCUGUUGUGUUGGUGUUUCUGAAUUUUUUCUUUGAGAUUGUCUUCUUUUUUGGUUUGGGAGUGUAGGUGUAAUUUUGGAGUGUGUUUUAGCUUGAUAUAAGAUUAUUUGCCUUAGUGCCUCUACAAACAAACAGUCUAACAUACAAAAGUAGGCAGAGGAAAAAGCUGCUUUGAUCAUGGAAGAAUUACACUCUGAUGACACUGGAUUUAUCAUGGAGCUUGUUAUAAAACCUGAAAUAAAUUUGAUUAGUGGUGAUUACGGCGUUGGGAAGAGUACUCUAUUGUUGCAGUGAUAGCAGCAUUGGAGCAUGUUUUGUUUCAAACUUCAGAAGAGGUAUGAGAUAGUAUUGCUUUUAUAUUGCAUCAUUAUAUGUGAUAUUACAUUCUUGUAAUUCAUUUGCUAAUUUGAAAUUCUCAUUUUGUUUGCCAUAUACAUUAACUUAUCAAAUAAACAAAAAGUUGAGUAUCCGGAGAGAGUGUUUUCUGAAUCUUCUUUUCAAAUUUGAGCUUCGAUGUAUUUAAUAAAAAUGCUCUGCCUGUUAUUGUAAAUGAUGGCUUUGACUGCGAUAAAAAAAUUGAUACACCAAUUUAAAAAUCUUGCUUUAAUUUGAUGACAUAACUUCAAUAUGUAUUCAUUAGGGGUAGAUCAGUCCAUUUGUGUUACUGGUGAUGACAGCUGAGCAUAGCAUAUAAGGGAAAUGAAGAGGAUCAGAGAUACAUAUAAAAGAUUUGAAGAGCUUGUGUUUGGGUUCGAAGAGUUUUUCUUUAAAGGACUGAAUAUCUAUUUAUGGAUAGCAAAUUUAUAUGUAUCUGACUCUCAAUUGUCUAUCCCUCCUGAUUGAAUCUGAGAGGCUUUGCUGCUCUCUUGCGGUCUGACUUUGGCCCACUCUUUUUUUGAUUCCGCUCAAUUGCGCGAUCUUUGUAAGGUAGUUUGAAUUUUAUAGGCCUUCCUUUUUCGAUGAAGUGGAUCGUUCUCAUCAAGUGACAGAAAAAAGAGUUUUGCAGCUGUUGUUAGAUGUCAAAUUUGUCAUUGAUAUUAUCAGAAGAAAGCAGGGCCAAAGUUUGACGAUCUCAUUUGUAGUGGUGUUUGUGUUUGUACUAUUCAAUUCUGAUUUGUCUUGUAGCUCGGAUAGGUUUUGUUUAUGAAAUGAAUGUAUUACGAGUUGUUGUUUUAUUAGAGCUAGUGUAUAUUGGAACAACACUGUUUCUUAGAAAAUUAAUAAUAUUGUAUAUUUUGGAAGUCUA